GCUCCGGUGGCCUAGUGGUUAAAGCGUCCGCCUCAGAUGCGGGAGGUCGAGGGUUUGAAGCGCUGCCGAGUCA